rnacentral:tRNA from 2 species
GGGCUUUUAGCUCAGUUGGUUAGAGCGCGCCUCUGAUAAGGGCGAGGUCUCAGGUUCGAGUCCUGAAAGGCCCACCU